CAGCUGCGAAAUGUGAUGUGAAUUGCAACUCAAAGCGGUUAUCGUGAAUCAUUGACUAUUUGAACGCAUUGCACCGCCCUUUUGGGAGUGGUACACCCGAUUGAGAGUCAUAAUGACCUUCAGGUUGGGAUACUUGGCCAUUCAAUUGGCAGAUGUAUUUGCCGCUGCAACCCAUCUCACUGAGGUGGCAGAGGCGCAUCUACAUGAGUGUCUCAACUCUGGCUUCGAGGCUGCACGGUACUUAAGUAUCGCGUGCCUUCAGAUGGAUUAGUGGUGACUGCGAGAGCGAGUCAGACUCUGUGUAAUAAAUCAUUUCACGCAGAGGAGUGCUUCAGCACACUUGUGAUCUAUGGCACUGCUUCAAACCUGCCCCUGGGCAAACUGCAACGGCUUCACGGCUGACGCGCAUUAUGAAAUUGGCCUCAGUUGGGUGGGAUGACCCGCUUGAUUUAAGCAUAUUAUUCAGCGGAGGAAAAGAAACU
rnacentral:rRNA from 1 species